UACGGGGGGAGCUAGUGUUAUUCGCAAUGACUGGGCGUAAAGGGCAUCUAGGCGGCAUAAGUAAGUUUAAAAUGAAAUUUUAAGGCCCAACCUUAAUAAUGUUUUUAAAACUGUUUGCUUUGAGUUUAGCAAAAGAUGGCAGUAUUUCUAAUGGAGAGGUAAAAUUCAAGGAUAUUAGAAGGACUCACAAUAGGCGAAGGCAGCCAUCUAGGUUAAACUGACGCUAACAUGCAAAAGCAUCGGGUAGUGAACCGG
rnacentral:rRNA from 1 species